CAUUAACCUCGAUUGAGCUUAAUUAAAGAAAAUUAACAAACACCCAGUCCAUAUAUUUAUAUAUAUUUAUUCUCCCCGCUCUUGUAAUUCUGGGUGUCUGGUACUGGUGUAAAAAAAAGUGCGAGAACCCACUAGCUUUUCUAUAUACAUGAACACAAUAAAUUUAUACUAUACAUUGAAAGGAUAAAACUAAACGUGGGAGAGCAUGUUGUAUUUUUUUACAUUAUCUAUAUAGCAAAUUAUAAUCAUUUUUUUUUUAUUGCAAUAAAAUACACAUUAUAAUUAAUUAAAUGCGCAGUAAAGCUGUAGUGUAAUGAUAUUUAAAAAUAUUGUUUUUUAUAUUUUUAUUCAUUUAUUAAUUGAUAAAUGUUUUUUAGAAUAAAUUAAAUAAAAUGAGGGUCACGUGAUGAGGAUAAAAAAAUAUUAUAUUAAUUCACGCAAGUGUCUCUAUGGAAUUUCUGAUGAUACAGUGAUGUCAUUGAAUCAUUCUUGGGUUAAUCAUACACAGCCGAAGACAUAUGACUCAAAACUUGACUCAUGCAAUCUAAUGGAGUGAAAGUGCCUCAGGUGUAUCGCGAUUCCCUGACACACGUGUUGGUCAUGAAAUCAACUUCCGCAUAUUGUCUUGACGCGUUGGGUGACAUCAUCAUUCUAUCAGUAAACACCAUAUAUAUAUAUACUUAUAUCUAUGUAUGGAAAGGAUGUCCAGGUGAGAACAAUGAAAAAAAGUCGUCCCCCAAAAAACGCUUUGUUCACAAAUUACAAUGAACACACAACAAUUUUAGAGACAUAAAUUGCUGAAAAAUUUUUAAUAGUUACAUAUAUUUAUUAUAUAAAUUAUGACAUAAUAAAUGUGAAACCUUUGGGAUAUAGUGAGUGAGCAUGAAAAUUAGCGAUGAAAACUCGCGGUUCAAUGAUCACCAAUUGUACGUACAUCGAGGUAUGUGCUUUUCUUUUAUCGUUAAAUUAAAUGGAACGAGACGUUAUUAUUUAGUACAAUGGGCAUCGGUGGGAGCGAAACAGAUUGGUCGAUAAAACCCAUAAAAGGGAACUUUAACUAGUUUUAUGGAGCAUAGGGAGACUUUAAGUUACUCAUAUUUGUUUAGGUCUACUUUCUCAUAUAACCGCCGUCUAAAAUUAUUAUUUCAAUGCAAUUUUUAUAAUUUUGUAUCCGUUUUUUUUUUUUUUCCUAAUCCUGUUCAGAAAAAUUGGACCAACGGAAAAUUUAAGAAAAAUUAAUUUAUCUUCAUUAAAUAUUCA